AACGAACGCUGGCGGCGUGCCUAACACAUGCAAGUCUGACGGGAAAGUCUCCUUCGGGGGGCUAGUACCGUGGCGAACGGGUGAGUAACACGUGGGUAACCUGCCCUCGGGAUCGGGAUAACCUUGCGAAAGCGAGGCUAAUACCGGAUAAGACCACGCCCCGCAUGCGGGAUGUGGUAAAAGGCGGCCUCUUCAUGAAAGCUCCCACCUGAGGAUGGGCCCGCGGCCUAUUAGCUUGUUGGUAGGGUAAUGGCCUACCAAGGCGACGAUGGGUAGCCGGCCUGAGAGGGUGUACGGCCACACUGGCACUGAGACACGGGCCAGACUCCUACGGGAGGCAGCAGUGGGGAAUUUUGCGCAAUGGGGGAAACCCUGACGCAGCAACGCCGCGUGAGUGAUGAAGGCCCUCGGGUCGUAAAGCUCUUUUAGUGGGGAAGAAACGUUUUGGGGCGAAUAAUCCCGAAUCCUGACGGUACCCACAGAAAAAGUUCCGGCUAACUACGUG
rnacentral:rRNA from 1 species